GACAGGCAUUAUGGAAGCUAAGAACCCUGUGGACAGAAGGGUUCUGACCCCACCCUCUGAUUAUGCUGAGUGCCCUGUGCCAACAUGGGUGUGGUUUUCAUAUCUGAGCUUCUCUCUCACUCCUAUUAGGUGAGGAUGACAGGUUGAGAGCCAGCCCGUCUGAUGGGGGCUGGUGGGUUGGGUGAGAAGAGAGAGGGAGCCGAAAGACUAGGGUAUGAUACUGAAAGGUGCCAGACACUUACACAGAAAGUGGCUGUGUCACCCAAAGGAGACUACUUAAAUGGGAAAAGACGGGCUGUCAAUCUGGAGGAUGAAUCCACACUGGCCUCCUCCUUAGGUCUACAAUGCAGCCUAUGCCGCACACUUGGGGCCUCUGCACAGGUUUUCUUGCCCGUCCUUCUGAAUAACAGCCCUGCUGUCUGCCUUUGUCUGGGUGUCUCCUCAGGAAGCCUUCCCCGACCACCGUGUUUAAACAGUGCUCCAGUCCUCACCCAGCUUUGUUAUUCUUCAUAACGAUGAUAACACUGGACCCAUGCACCAGCUGGAACAGUAUACCAUAGGCCGGGUGGCUUAAACCAAUAAACAUUGACUUCUCAAAGUUCUGGAGGCCGAAAGCCCCAGAUUAGAGCACUGGCAUGACUGGUUUCUCCAGGGCCCUGUUCCUGGCUGCCUUCUCACUGUGGCCUUCACUUGGUGGAUGCUUAUGGAGAGCCCUCUUCCUCUCUCCUUCUUAGAAAGCCAAGAACCCAAAUGGAUUAGUACCUACUAUUAGGACCUCAUUUAAACCUAAUCACUUCCAAAAGUCCUAUGUCCACAUACAGUCCCAUGGAGAGUUAGGGUUUGAACACAUGAAUGUUGGGGGUGGGACACAAACAACUAGUCCACAGCAGCCUGCACCGCACAUGUACUGUAUUAAAGUGGAG
rnacentral:lncRNA from 1 species